UAGAGUAUAUCAGAAGCCUACAUGCACCCUAGUUGGAUUUACAUUUGUGUCAGUAUCUGAAUGUUCAGCGAGAUGGGUCGGCUCGUAAUUGGUUUUGUGUUUUGCCUAACUGCCGCCAUUUGCCUAGGCGUCACAAAUGAGCAAGGAAGCCCUCCUUCCCUAUUGUGCAACGCUUCAAUGCCUGGACAGGACCAAUUGUGCUUACGGCAAUGAGGAGAUAAGAGGUUGUCCAAUAUGUAGGUGCAAACGUUCAACAGAAGCGAAAGGCCGAAGCGACGGUGUAUAACUUGUUGCGGCACCUGGCCAUGCUGCUUCAGAUGUUAAUCUGAACCAUAUGAGUCGACUGCAACGUAACACCCUCUGACGCUUCAAUGUUGACGUUGCCAAGAAAUGGACCACAGCCUGAAAAAUAUAUAAAAUAUAUAAUCAUUCUUUCAAGAAUUAAAGACUCUUCUCUUGUUGUUUCUAGUGUCACAUUGUAAACGAAUAAACAAAGUACUGCACGGC